UAGCAGCGGUUCAAAAAGACAACUGCUAAAAGGUAAGAUUUUGGCGGUUGUGCAUCUGGAUGGUGGUGUGCAGCAAAAUUACUAGAAUUCGCGGUUAAACAAAACACAUUUAUCAAUUGAAAACCACCCUUAGUAUUUUCUCCAAGUGUUUUCUCUGAAUUGAAAGCCUACUGGCGCGACUCUCUUCUCUGAAUCCCUCUUGCACUGCAAGCUCAUCCGCCACAGCCUCAUUGCACCCUUGUUGAUCCUCUAUCACCCUUCAAUCCUCCCACUGCGAUCCGGCCCUAGUUCAUCUCUGCCUCUCCAUUCUCUUGCAGUCGGUGCCUCCUACCUCUUUGCCCUAUUGUGCAUUAUCUCACUUUGCAUAGUCAUGGUCUUCUGUGUAGUCACAGUCACAUCGCUCUCCACACAGUUUGCAGCUGCCAUCAUCCUCUGCGCAGUUCCUACCCGCUCAUGAAUGAUCAUAUGAAAUUGUUAAGAGGUUGCAAGAGAGGAAGCAUAUAUGUUGAAUGAUAGGUGAUGGUGUCAACGACGCCCCUGCAUUAAGGAGAGGAGAAAUUGGAAUUACUGUUGCUGAUGCUACAGACGCUGCUAGAAGUGCUUCUGAUAUUGUCUUCAGUAAACCUGGUCUUAGUGUCAUUAUUAGUGCAGUACUCACCAGCAGGGCAAUUUUCCAUAUGUAAUGAUUUAUGAAUGCGUGAUCGAAUGCCAUCUUCUAAAUGGUGGAAGUUUUAUGCCUUUUAAUCUAUAUUCCCUUAUAUUAGGAUGAUAUGAUAAU